rnacentral:rRNA from 1 species
CGCGUUGACCGAGACUCAGCCUUGUCUUGGCUUGGUGUGCUUCUCGGCUCGACGGGUCAGCAUCAAUUUUGAUCUUUAGAUAAUGGCAAGGGAAAGGUGGCACCUUUUUAGGUGUGUUAUAGUCCCCUGUCGGAUGCAAGGGUCAGGAUUGAGGAACUCAGCAUGCACCUUUGGGUGUCGGGGUCUUUGCCCACGUUAUGUGCUUAGGAUGCUGGCGUAAUGGCUUUAAACGACCCGUCUUGAAACACGG